rnacentral:misc_RNA from 1 species
GGCAAUUCUAAUAGUUUUAUUCUUUGGGUGUGGUCAAAAUCUUUACCAUUAUUUGAAUUUAUGUUGUCACUCUCUUCACUAAACCAUUCUAGAGUCUGUACACAGUACACACCCGGAAGUAUAAAGAUGGUCAUGGAUUCUUUUGGUAAUGGGAAUGUUUCAGUUAGUUCAACCACGAUGAGGUAACAUGGAAUAGGUUUAAAGCUAAUCACAGAAAGAAUGAGAAAUAAUGGCUCGUUCCGGUUGGAUACCUCAUACCCCAAAUUUUUCAUUAAUAUCAUGAUGAAUGGUUUAUAUGUGUGAUUGAUCUCUAUUCCAUUUAUGAGCAGGGUUUGCUCUUUCAUGUUUAAUAGGCUUCCAACUAAGAAAUGAAAAGUUAAAAUUAGUAGGGUGUUUUAAAGCAAUACCUUAUAAUUAUGCAAUAAUGUCAAUGAAAAAGUUGUCCUGCCAACAAGGCCUUGAUCUAGUUGUAAAACUAGUCAAGUUCGAGACCCUGGAACCCAGAGGUUCCAGGUCCAAGUCUUAAUAAAGUUAAGUUGGUUGUAUUUCCAUAUUAUGAGGGUUGUGUUUACUUUGCUUUGCAAAUGUACUUUGGCCUAGGCCAAUUCUAGUUGUAAUUAAUAUGAAUAUGAUGUAUCUUUAAUCUAUCUCCUAGUAAAAAAAUUGAAGAAGUUAUCGUGUCUGACCCACUAGAUGCUUUAUUCUAUUAAUCUGCUGGAUUGUGUGCCUUGCUUAAUAUUUUACUCAGAGCAAUUGUUUUUUGUUUUUGUUGUUGCUGAUAGUCUUCUGUUUAAUAUGCAUAGUUACUGCUGUUGCAAAUGGUAU